AUACAAACGUAGAUGAAGAUUAGUAUAUUGAAACGUCUUUUAUAGAGAGGAAAUGGAUGGUGGAAAUUUCCAAAGAUAAUCAAUGGAACCUGCUUCGGAGUUCGCUAUUAGAAAGCUUUAUGCUGUAAAAUAGCGCGGGGAUUCCCCGUUAUCCAAUGAAGUGUGCAGUUUAUUUUUGCAAACAAGGGUGGUACCACCAACCUCGGUCCCUUAU
rnacentral:ncRNA from 1 species